rnacentral:lncRNA from 1 species
AGAAAUGCUAUUGGGACACAAAACCCAAACAAAAAUACAACAAAUGAGGGGUAUAAUGGUCAAUUGCUGAUAAGUAUACUUUUGGUUUUUUUAUUUUUAUUUUUUUAUUAUACUGUCCUCCAUCCAUUGUCCUCUGCUUCACUCACUCUCUCUCUCUCUCUCUCUCUUCUUUGAAUCCAAAGAGUUUCCAAUGCUUUGAACAGAUUGGUGGCU